rnacentral:rRNA from 1 species
UACGGGGGGAGCAAGCGUUGUUCGGAUUUACUGGGCGUAAAGGGCGCGUAGGCGGCCUCCGCAAGUCGACUGUGAAAUCUCCGGGCUUAACCCGGAACGGUCAGCCGAUACUGCAGGGCUAGAGUGCAGAAGGGGCAACUGGAAUUCUCGGUGUAGCGGUGAAAUGCGUAGAUAUCGAGAGGAACACCUGCGACGAAGGCGGGUUGCUGGGCUGACACUGACGCUGAGGCGCGAAAGCUAGGGGAGCGAACGGG